UUUAUUGCAAAAAAUGAAAUAAAAUGGUCAGCCCUACCCAUUUAAAGACAUGCUGUGUAUAUUUGGGAGUUAGGGGGAGGGGUUUAGUUAAAAAAAAUCCGUAAUUUUUAAAAUUUUCAUUUAAGUGUAAAUAAAAACAAUGCCAACAAGCAAUGGUUAUGGUAAAAAAUCUCAUCGUGAAGUUUUUCUUGUUGGAAAAAGAAUCGGAACAAUACCUAUCACACAAUUGCCAACUAAAAGAACUGUAUUGCAAUAUUACCAUUACGGAGAUCUUAUGCUAAGAGCUGAUUUUCCAAACAUUUCAUCAGUUAGUAUAGCUACAUGUCCACUUGGUGAUUUCUUUACUGCAUAAUGUGCUGAAAUAGGUAGUUGUCUCCAAAAAUGUUUACCAUGCGUCCUUUACGAGGUGAAGAAAAUUUGGCAAAAAGCAGGAAUUCCUUUUGUUAAUACUGACAAGCAUAUCAGAGACAAGAUUGUUGACUUAAAAAAGAAGAGAAAAGUUUUAAACAAACACAGGAACCGUUUAAGUAAAAAUUUAGUUUUAAAAAGAGAAACUUUUUCAAAAAUGCUAGAGGAAGUAUUCAAUGUAAGUCAUAACAAUUGUGAACAUACUAUUAUGAAAGAUAAAACUAAAGAUUUAAAAACUAGAAGAGAGGAUGUAGAUUUUCUUAAUGACUUGAAAGGAGCGCGUGUUCAGAAAAUGUUGGGUAAAGAUAAAAUUUCACAAAAUAUUGUAUAAAAUAAAAGAAAAAGAGAAAUGAAAAAAAAAAUUAAAGUAUAAAAGAGUCCAUAAGAAAACAGAAAGAGUUGGUUACUGAGAAAAUUGAUGACACAAUGAAAAAUUUAAAUACUUUAGAUAAUGAUCAAGAUGAACAGUAUCUACAACCUUCUAUAAAAAUUAAAAAUCUAAUGCUGUUUCUCUUAUAGUUCCUUAAAAUAUAGGAAAAGAUUUAGCUCCAACAGCAUCACAAUAUGGAAUAAGUUCGACUGCACUGAGUGCAACUCUUGCUUCUCUUAUAAAUAACAGUUCUGGAACAACAGAUGACUUUUCUAUUUCUAAACGAAGUAUUUUGAGGCAGAAAAAAUCAAGUAUAAGUACAACUGCCUGUAAAUUUAAAGACAACUUUAUUAUAUUGGCUAAGGAUAAAAGUCUUACCGUGCAUUUUGACUCCAAAAUUAUGGUAGAAUUGAGAGAAAUUGUUAAAGUCAAAAGUUGAAAGAUUAGCUGUGCUAAUCAGUUCACCAGAUCUUUCAGAAUCCCAAAUUUUGGGUAUUUUAAUUGUGAAAGAUGGCACUGCUGAGUCUCUUGGGAAAGCAAUCAAAAAAACUUUACAAGACUAGAAGCUAUUUGACAAUGUUGAUUGUCUACCCUUGUACACCACAGACACAAAUACUGGUUGGCUAAAAGGAGUCUGUACUCAUAUUGAGCAGUGGAGAGGAAAAGCUUUGAUUUGGAUGGCUUGACGUUAUCAUGUCUACGAAUUACAUAUAAAGUUUAGCACUUUUCAAGUGUUCUUACUGGAGGUAAAACAAAUGGACCAAAGACUGAGUUAUUUGAAAGGUUAAAGUGUAAUUGGAAAUCGAUUCUUGAAAAGAAGAUAAAUUAUGAUAACCUAAAGAGAUUUGGCUCAGAAAAAAAAAUUAAAUCUUUUUUGGGAAAGCAGGCUUCUGAAUCAUUAAUAUUCCUUCAAAAUUGCCUCGAUAAUGAUAUAUUUCCAAGAAAUGGCUACAAGUAUUUUAUACAGUUAGCAGUUCUUAGGUUAGGUGGCAAAGUACAAGAUUUUCACUUUAGAUUUCCAAUGGCUUCACAUCAUGCCAGGUUUAUGGCACAGGGCGUUUAUUAUUUAACAUACGAAAUUCUACACCCACAAUUCAGUAACUUAUGUCCUGAUAUAAUAUCAUUACAAAAGGGAAAGCUGAUUCAUGAAAUUGGUUCAUUUACAGCACUAUUUUAUCUUUCAUGGUUUAUUAAAGUCACUUGAAAAACACAAUUGGUAUUUAAAUGAAAGAUUUGUGGUUAUGUGUCUUGCUGAUAAAUGCUUACCUGUAGAUCAGCUACAAAAAUUAGCUCUUAAAUUAGCUCAAACAGCAAAGCCUACCAGUUAUAAAAUGGGAAUACUAAGUUCAGAAAUUUUUACUGACAAUGAAAAAAAAAAUAACAAAAAGAAUUGAAGAUUUUAUUGGUCCUGAAAGCUGGUUUUUCUUUGAUUUACUUAAAAUGACAUUACAUGAGGCAGAUUGGUUGAAAAUCAAUUCAUCAAACUGGGAAACAUGUUCAGGUUAUAUAAGAUUUGAAAAUUAUAUCACUGGUCUUCUUGUUGUAAAUGACAGUGCAGAACGUGCAAUUAAACUUGGUCAAGACUUUAUUGAAACUUUCCGAAACGAAGAAUAUAACCAAGCUAAUUUACUAGUUGUUGCAGAUAAUCAUCGUCUAAAAUUUCAGACAACAGAAAAAAAAUCUUGGUUGAAAGCUUUAAAAUUACUUUUCCUUAAAAAAUAAAUACAAAUAUAAAAUUUUUAUUUAAAAUUGUAUGAAAAAAAUUUUACUCCAUCCCCCACCUCCCAAACAUACACAGCAUGUCUUUAAAUGGGUAGGGCUGACCAUUUCAUUUUUUUUUUUUGCAAUAAAACAAAAUAUAAUCUUAAAUUAGAUUUAUCAGGCUACAAAAAUAACCUUAAAGAUAUCUUUGAAAUAUUUGUAAGUGACCCAGCCCCCCUCAUUAUUUACAAAAAGCAGAAAUUUUCAAAGUUUCGGACUGCUGGGACCAACCAUAGGAGUACCCAUAAAAAAAAUAAUUAUAUAUUUUUAAUACAGAUAUCAAAAGGAACCAGAAAAACUAUAAUGGUAUUUUUUUUAUUGACUUAGGUGUUUUAUGCC
rnacentral:lncRNA from 1 species